rnacentral:rRNA from 1 species
GACGAACGCUGGCGGCGUGCUUAACACAUGCAAGUCGAACGAAGUGGCGAACGGGUGAGUAAUACGUGGGUAACCUGCCCUCCUUUUUGGGAUAAGCCUUGGAAACGGUGUCUAAUACCGGAUAAAGGGGGAGGGGCUCGCGGCCUAUCAGCUUGUUGGUGGGGUGCUGGCCUACCAAGGCGGUGCCGGGUAGCCGGCCUGAGCGGGUGAACGGCGACAGUGUGACUGAGAAACGGCCCAGGCGACUACGGGAGGGAGCAGUGGGGGAUAUUGCACAAGGGGCGAAAGCGUAAUGCAGCGACGGCGCGGGGGGGAUGAAGGCUUUCGGGUUGUAAACCUCUUUCGGUAUAGAACGGGUAGGUGGAGAAGAAGCGCCGGCUAACUACGUGCCAGCAGCCGCGGUAAUAC